rnacentral:rRNA from 1 species
UACAGAGGGUGCGAGCGUUAAUCGGAAUUACUGGGCGUAAAGCGUGCGUAGACGGUUAUUUAAGUCGGGUGUGAAAGCCCCGGGCUCAACCUGGGAAUUGCAUUCGAGACUGAAUAGCUAGGGUACGGUAGAGGGAAGCGGAAUUUCCGGUGUAGCGGUGAAAUGCGUAGAUAUCGGAAGGAACAUCAGUGGCGAAAGCGGCUUCCAUGGACCA